UAGGGAAUCUUCCACAAUGGACGAAAGUCUGAUGGAGCAAUGCCGCGUGAGUGAAGAAGGGCUUCGGCUCGUAAAACUCUGUUGUUAAAGAAGAACACCUUUGAGAGUAACUGUUCAAGGGUUGACGGUAUUUAACCAGAAAGCCACGGCUAACUACGUGCCAGCAGCCGCGGUAAUACGUAGGUGGCAAGCGUUGUCCGGAUUUAUUGGGCGUAAAGCGAGCGCAGGCGGUUUUUUAAGUCUGAUGUGAAAGCCUUCGGCUUAACCGGAGAAGUGCAUCGGAAACUGGGAGACUUGAGUGCAGAAGAGGACAGUGGAACUCCAUGUGUAGCGGUGGAAUGCGUAGAUAUAUGGAAGAACACCAGUGGCGAAGGCGGCUGUCUAGUCUGUAACUGACGCUGAGGCUCGAAAGCAUGGGUAGCGAACAGG
rnacentral:rRNA from 1 species